rnacentral:miRNA from 1 species
GUGUGUGUGCACAUGCAUGCGUAGGAGCCUGUGUCCAGAUACACACACACACACACACACACACACACACACACACACACAUAU